UGCCACCGAAAGGCUGACGGGGCCAUAGCGCCCGAGGAAACCGGUGUGAAUCCGGUGCGGUCCCACCACUGUGACCCGGGAUGGGGUGCCCCCUCCCGGGAGCCAGACACUCACCGUCAGCGCUUCCUCCCG
rnacentral:ncRNA from 1 species